UUUAUGGGUCCAGAUAUUUCUUUCCGAAGUCUCCCGAACCGGCCAGCAUGUUCCGUGUUAAAGUCGUCCACGGCGUCGUCUCCUCCUCGCGCAGACGAGAGCCGAGCAGAGCUGCUGCUGUGCCGGCCAUCCCCGGUCGCGCCCCCCUCCAGUUCUUUCCGCGGGUGCCUCCCCAACCUCAUCCUCCACCUCCACCGCGCAGCAGCAGGCCCGGCCGUGCUCUUCCCCGACCGGAAUCGGCCAUCUGCGGGCCGCUAGAGCUGCUGCUCCGCCCCCAACAUCAAGCUCCUUCCUCCGGCCAUUCCCCGCCGGAUUCGAGGCCUUGCUUCAAGAAUGGAGGCCGGGAGUGCCAUCCCCAGGGAGCUCAGUGAGCACGAGCUCACUGUAAUGGCGACCAGGGACCUCGUGCAGCAAUUAGAGUACGCUAAAUGUGCGACACGAGGAACCGGAGGGCAAUGUUGAAGCCGAGCCAGAAGAUGGUGCACGGGUGGACCAAUCCAGAAGACGGAAGGAUCGACUGGAGUGCAUGCUUGGACUGGGAUGAUGUCAAGCCGGUGCAAGACUACAAGCUAACUAACUGACUUUGUGUCAAACCCAGCCAAGCCCCGGAGCAUAACCCGUAAAUUCAGUAUUCAAUGUUUAUUAUAUAAUUAUUGCGCAUUUACGUUUCUAGGAGUUGAUUGAAACCGUAGAUGCAUGAUCCCUAGGUUUCCUCAGUUACUCUACUAGUGUGCAGGUCGUUAGUACUGCCAUGCUUAAUUAGGACUCGGUAGAAGUCGAGUGAUUCCUGUCACUCGCGAGCUAUAGGUUUCUGUUACUUAUGGCAACGUGGCUUGAGAAUGAAUCAAUGAGGAAAGAGAAAUGGAGACCGGGCGGAGAUGAUAUUGGUUUUGGAUAUGAAAUGGAGGGAAAGUAAGCCUCCGCCUGUGUCGAUUGAGGACCGUACCGUUGUUGGCAGUGCUGACCGAGUUUGAACAGUACUAACCACAUGCCGGAAGUAGGAGGUAGUCGAAACCGGUAAGCUAAUUACCUGAUUUGCAAUGAUACUUUGAAUCGCGACCUGCUAUUCUGGGAGUGGAAUGAUGGCGGGUGUUGGAAUGUAUGUCGCCUCCGGGUUCUCCGGGAGUUCGCCGUGAGGGACCCUUCACCCGGGUUUUGGCAGGCGUGAUUCAGACGUCGGGGUAAUGAUGGGAACGGUUGACAUAUGUGGUCCGGCGUGGCUGCACGUGUCGUGUGAGUUAGGUCCACCUUGCAAGGUUAAAUCGGAUCGAUUCGCCGUCUCUCUCGGUUAAGAGAACCUUGGUCACUUUGUCACAUUGUAGUUAAGAAGUGAAAAUGAGAAGAGAGGUAUGAUGAGAUAUGUUUGUGGUACUUUGUAAAGAUUUAUGUGAUCAACCAUGCUUGCUUUAGAUGUCAGGCAAAUCUAGUUGGUACUUGAUAAACUUAAAUUGAGCUAAAAUAUUGAAAGUAAGGAUCCAGUAUUAGUAGCCUUUCAGCAAAACAAACUCCAGAGCCAAAAAGCUUUACAUGUCUAGAUAGUGGGCUAAGUAUACCCGUGUCGGGUAAGUCUUGCUGAGUAUUAGUAUAUUCAGGGUUUGUUGUCACCCUGUUUUCAGGUUUUUAUUGUUGAUGGAAGCUGACCAGAAUUCACGUCGGUGGGCUCGAUGUGACAUUCUCCCGACUUCGUAGGUCUCGCGGUUUUUCAACUGAACUUGCUUUCUAAAUUUCCGCUGCACUUUUAACUCUGAUAACUUUUAUUUAAACUUAAUUGUAAUACUUUGCUUUGUAAACUUAAUUUUGAGAACUUUAGUCUGCUUGUAAUCAUCUGUGCUCGCCUUCAUGCGAGACUUUCGGUGUUUUCGAUCCUUAACCCAGCAGGCUGCCGGAUUACACCGUUUUAAGUGCGCGGUGGCUUGAUUAAUACUUAAAAUGAUAGUUAGCGCACUUAAGCUGGUUUAAUUUGGGCUGUUCUGCCACAGCUGGUAUCAGAGCCGAAAUGCACUGUGGAUGAUUACUUGUAUGCUUAAUUAGGUUUAAAACUAACUUUUUGGCUUGCAAAAUGUUCGGUUUUGAAAGUUUGACGCUAGUUGCGUUAAGGAAUAAGAUAGAUAGCUCGUAUGCCCUAUCUAGGUUUUAUUAGUUAUGGUGGCAUCUAUAUAUCUAUGUUAUUCCAGCACUUUCAGCUCUUUACUUUCUGUUAAACCUUACUUUUGUGCACAACUGUUAUUCCGUAACGACGCACCUACGCUGAGGUAAGCAAGGUGAGUGUUCUGAUAGUCCUUAGAAUAGCCCACGUGUUUCACACGUGCGCGGGUCCCGUAUGAUGAGCAUACGAGGAGGUGAUAAUGUUCAAUUCAAACAAGCCUGUCGCUAUCUGCCGCCUGAUAUGGAGUGCGGAUUUCCCACCGUGUGAUUGUAAUCACGGCCAUCUCGUAAGACAAUGUUACGAGGUGAAGACCUGUUAUGUGGUUAGACAUAACCGUGUACCUUGGGACACGUGUACCCUUGGGUGUCCCGUAAGGCGAUUUGUACGGGAAGUGAAUACGUUGCCCCGGUAACGUAUGAAGCGCUGCCCAUUUAGCAUCGAAUGUUUGGGUGCCAUCUCUAUAGUGGAUGGUAAUGUAUGUGUGAAUAUGUGGAAAACUGCAUAUGCGUUACCCGUGUGGCGUAGGACACAUGGGGGCCAUUCGUGUGUGCUGGCACGAAGGGUUCAGAAAUGGAUAUUUAUCUCUCUUUAUAUCUUGUGUUUGUCUGCAGGUACACUAACCACGUUACGUAAGCUUUGAACGUAAAAACGACUAGUAUAUAUAGGGAGAGUACGUAUCUGUGCCACCGAUUGUCCCCGUAUGCCUAGUUAUUGGCAUUUGUUGGUGAGGAACGAUAGAACGUGCAUGCAUAUUGGCAUAAUCUUGAGUUUGAUUGAUUGUCAUGCUUGUUGCGUUGUUUACUAAAAUGUGAUGCUUUUACCUAAAGGUUCACCUAGGUUUUGUGUUGUAGUAGUGGGGCUAACAUAAUCUGCUAGACAAAUCUUGGUUUAAGAAGAUCUUUUGCAAGUUGGUGGCUUGGGUCUUAUGUGAAUCUUAUGUUUCUCUUAGCCUGUCAUUCCAAUCAAACCCUUGAUCCUUGCCUUGAAUCUGUUUUGGGAGAAGCAUUGUGCUUUUCUCUGUGAUAACUAAGCCUUGAUGGUUGUCAGAAAAACCCUUGAAUCCAUCGUUCAAUGACCAUUCUAUUCUGUCUUGAUGUUGUCCCCUAUAUUGUUGGCUAUUUUGAUUCUAACACCGGAACCUUGUACAUUCCAUUCUUGCUCAGUAGUUUUGGAUAAAUUAAAAAGGUUCAUGACAAAAUAACUUUUUGAAUAUAGUCAUUGCAACAAUCAUGCAUCACGUCAUUGGUCAGUGCAUGGUGUUGCAUCAUCGUCGAGAAUCCAUAGAUUGACUAACGGGAAUGCGUUCGAGUGUAACAUCGUGGGUUGUCUUGGGUUUCCUCUAACCUAUCUCGCCUCUUCUGGCCUGUUGGGUUGCUACUCUUGAUUUCUCUUGUGGUGGUGUUUAGUUGCAUGACCCAGAUGCCGCGACGGAACCUAGGGCCUCAUGUGUGCUGCAGCCACAUGAUUGAGCCACUAGGAGCACGCUGGUGUCUAGGUAUAUGUGACGUAACUCACUGCAACCCUCUUUUAUGCAACCUUGUUAGUGUCCUAACUUCUAAUCCUUACUCAAGGGUAUAGGGUUAACGCGAGGUUAGUCACGAGGGAACGAUCAUAAGACGUGUGUUGCAUUGUGUGCAUCACAAAUUCAUCCGUGUAUGCAUCAUAUUUUAUGCACCUCAUAUAUGCAUAAAACAUGGGCAUCAUCAUCUUUGCACCAUGAUGUAUGCAUCAUUGGGCCAGCAUCAUGGCAAUUGCAUUGUGUCAUAUGCAUCAUUUUGCUCGUGCAUGGAACACUCCAUCCUUGUGUUGCACCAUCAUCGCAAUCAUACAUCUCAACAGUGCAUCAUGGUCAUGGUUAUAUAUCGAGCAUUGCACUCUGAGUUGGAGCAUUUUGUCAUUAUCCCUUGAUUGCAUCGAUAUAAAUGGGCAUGUUUUGCAACUAGCAUCACGCAAAUCAUUCAGGUAAUAAACUCUGAGCAGGGAUGUUCCAAACACCACUCGUAAAUCAAUCUCUCGUACUAUUCUCACUUGCUAUCCAUAAGUCUUGUGAUGAAUGUCGCCGACAUUUGUCGUCCUUAUGUUGUGAUCUUAGCUCUAUGAGAACUUGAUCACCUUGUCUCAUCAUUAUUCUUGUUUGGUUUGAUCUUUCCCUUCUUGAUCGGAAAACCUUACAUCACUCAGUUGUCCAAUCUAGUUGAAGGGUCGUGUACAAAUCAAGUUCGGUGUUUUCUUAAAAGCAUUAUCGUCAUCAGGAGCCGUCCCUGGCUGCAUGCAAGGAGGAAGUUCCUCUCGCCUUAGUGGCAAAAUCCUAGUUCUGGAAUGCGAUCGUAAUCUUUUGAGUUCCAUAAAUGACCCUGAUCAAGGUUUGCAACUAGAAAAUCUUAUAUGCAGUGCUAGUUACGGUUGUUUGUGCUGCAAAAAUCCAGUAUCUAUGCAUCGUGUAGACCUUUUGUUGACCCGCCAACCUAGUUAAGUUUUCUCAAAUACUCAUCUAUAUCUGUAGUAGGCUCAUGUGCCUGCUGGUCAAAUCCUACCAAACAAUCAUGGUUGAACCUCUCCGUCGCUUAUUCUAAAGAGGAUCUAGUGCAAGGUUAAUCUCUUUUUGUGCCUUGGCCUCAAAAUAUUUCCCUCGUAAAUCAUGUCAUUGCUUUAUCAGCCAAGUCUCUAAAUGGUGUAUCGGUUUGUUCCAUAGGUCCUGCUUGUUUUCCUUAUAGUUUUCGCAAGACUAUGAAGGUUCAUUGGGCUUGAUCUCGUAUUGCUGGCCAACUGGACCGCAUCUCAUAUUGAUUGUCAAUCUGGCGAUCUCUUGUUGGACCCAGCUGUAUGUGAAGCUAAAGCAAGAGUCUUAUGCCCUGUAGCUUUUGGCGUUUAAAAUCUUUGUUGCUAUCAUGUCAUAACUGGAUCACCUCUUUGCUAUCCCUAUUUUCCGUAAUGUCCGUCCAUGCAUGAUCUAUCGAUGCUACAUGGGAAUUUUCAUUGGUGGUAUCUCUGUAAGGGUGUCAUGAAUAACGACUGACAGUGUUGCAACGAAACCCAGAGCCUCCUCUGAGCAAUCGACAAGUGGUUGUGCUAUUUGGCACACGCUGGUAUCGAGAAUGAUAGUCAUGAUCCCUUAUGCACCUACAUCGGUGUGCUAUCUACUCGUGAGCCAUACUCACAUCUAUCUCUAUUGUCUGUCUGGAGAUCUAUAUAUCGGACCCCAAAUCUAGUAAGUCCUUCUUCCGAAGUUGCGAAGGGGAUAAUCUUAGAAGGAAAUGGUAAUGGGUGUAAAUGUUAGAAGACUGCAAGAGGUGGUAGAUAAGAGAUCCUAGUUAAUCUGCCGAGAUGAUCAGGCAGCAUAUGCCAUCACCGUUGGAGCAAGAGGGCAUACAACGCGUAAAGUUGGAGAAGUUACCAGUCGGACAAAAUCGUGGGAGAUAUCGAGUUUCUUACACUUUGCUUCUUACACUUUCUUUAAGUUCUCAAUCCUUAUCUGCAACGAUUUCUACAAUCAACAUCGAUCUUCUCUGAUGUGACUGUUUCCUGCCACUUUUGGUGGUUGAUCUGUUCCUUUAUCCUUGGAAGUCUUUCGUUCUGAAUCUCGGGAUGAGAUUCUUUUAAGGGUGUAGGGUUGUAACACCCCGUGUGUUAUUUACCUUAAUUAGGAUUAAUUGGGAGCUUAACUUGAUCAUUAGUGCUAAUCGGGUAUAAUUUAUGGGUCCAUAUAUUUCUUUCCGAAGUCUCCCGAACCGGCCAGCAUGUUCCGUGUUAAAGUCGUCCACGGCGUCGUCUCCUCCUCGCGCAGACGAGAGCCGAGCAGAGCUGCUGCUGUGCCGGCCAUCCCCGGUCGCGCCCCCCCUCCAGUUCUUUCCGCGGGUGCCUCCCCAACCUCAUCCUCCACCUCCACCGCGCAGCAGCAGGCCCGGCCGUGCUCUUCCCCGACCGGAAUCGGCCAUCUGCGGGCCGCUAGAGCUGCUGCUCCGCCCCCAACAUCAAGCUCCUUCCUCCGGCCAUUCCCCGCCGGAUUCGAGGCCUUGCUUCAAGAAUGGAGGCCGGGAGUGCCAUCCCCAGGGAGCUCAGUGAGCACGAGCUCACUGUAAUGGCGACCAGGGACCUCGUGCAGCAAUUAGAGUACGCUAAAUGUGCGACACGGGGAACCGGAGGGCAAUGUUGAAGCCGAGCCAGAAGAUGGUGCACGGGUGGACCAAUCCAGAAGACGGAAGGACCGACUGGAGUGCAUGCUUGGACUGGGAUGAUGUCAAGCCGGUGCAAGACUACAAGCUAACUAACUGACUUUGUGUCAAACCCAGGCAAGCC